rnacentral:rRNA from 1 species
GAUGAACGCUAGCGGCAGGCCUAAUACAUGCAAGUCGAACGGUGUCUUCGGACAUAGUGGCGCACGGGUGCGUAACACGUAUGCAACCUACCUUACAUUUGGGGAUCGCCUUUCGAAAGGGAGAUUAAUACCGCAUAAGACAGUAACUGGGCAACCAGCAGCUGUUAAAGAUUUCACGAUGUAAUCUGGGGCAGCGUCCAAUUUGCUAGUUGGCGAGGUAACGGCUCACCAAGGGAAUGAUUGGGAGGGGAACUAAGAAGGUCAAUCCCCCACACUGGCACUGAGAUACGGGCCAGAAUCCUACGGGAGGCAGCAGUGGGGAAUUUUGGACAAUGGGCGCAAGCCUGAUCCAGCAAUGCCGCGUGCAGGAUGAAGGCCUUCGGGUUGUAAACUGCUUUUGUACGGAGCGAAAAGGCUUCCACUAAUACUGGGGGCUCAUGACGGUACCGUAAGAAUAAGCACCGGCUAACUACGUGCCAGCAGCCGCCGUAAAAC